rnacentral:lncRNA from 1 species
UGGAUUAGGAUUUGAUUUAGGAUUUAGGGUUUGGUUAAAGAUUUAGGAUUUGGAUUAGGAUUUGAUUUAGGAUUUAGGGUUUGGAUUAGGAUUUGGUUUAGGAUUUAAGAUUUGGAUAGGAUUUGGUUUAGGGUUUAAGAUUUAGAUUAGGAUUUGGUUUAGGGUUUAGGAUUUAGGGUUUGGAUUAGAGUUUGGUUAGGGAUUAAGGUUUGAUUAGGAUUUGGUUUAGGUUUUAGAGUUUGUCUAGGGUUUGAUUAAGGUUGGAUUAGAAUUAAGAUUUGGUUAGAAUUUAAGGUUCUAUUAGAUUUUUGUUAGGGUUUGACUAAAUUUUUUUUAAUAUUCUUUUAUAUUUCUUUAAGAUUUCCUUGUGUUUCUUUUAUAACUUUAAUAAAAUUUAAUUGAGCUUGUUUAAUAUUUGAUUAUGAUUAUUGAAGUUUAAUUGUAAAUUUUUUAUAAUCCUAUUGGACUUUUAGAACCUUUUGUUGCAAUUUUCUUUUACCUUCCACAGCCAGGUGCUCGGUGCAUUCUUAAGCAAGACUUCACGUAAUACGAUAGUGGAUGUGUGUUGAUUAUUGAG